rnacentral:rRNA from 1 species
GGGUUCCACCUCUUCCCAUUCCGAACAGAGAAGUUAAGCCCACCCACGCCGAUGGUACUGCGUAACAGUGGGAGAGUAGGUAGCCGCCGUUU